CGGGGAAUAUUGCACAAUGGGCGCAAGCCUGAUGCAGCCAUGACGCGUGUAUGAAGAAGGCCUUCGGGUUGUAAAGUACUUUCAGCGAGGAGGAAGGUGUUGAGGUUAAUAACCUCAGCAAUUGACGUUACUCGCAGAAGAAGCACCGGCUAACUCCGUGCCAGCAGCCGCGGUAAUACGGAGGGUGCAAGCGUUAAUCGGAAUUACUGGGCGUAAAGCGCACGCAGGCGGUCUGUCAAGUCGGAUGUGAAAUCCCCGGGCUCAACCUAGGAACUGCAUCCGAAACUGGCAGGCUAGAGUCUUGUAGAGGGGGUUAGAAUUCCAGGUGUAGCGGUGAAAUGCGUAGAGAUCUGGAGGAAUACCGGUGGCGAAGGCGGCCCCCUGGACAAAGACUGACGCUCAGGUGCGAAAGCGUGGGGAGCAAACAG
rnacentral:rRNA from 1 species